GGAUAACCUACCCUGGUAGUGGGGGAUAAUCUCGGAAACUGAGGAUAAUACCCCAUAGGCCUUUGGUACUGGAAGUGUUCUUAGGCCCAAAUUACGGCGCUCCAGGAUGGGUCUGCGGCCUAUCAGGUAGUAGUGAGUGUAAAGGACUCACUAGCCGACAACGGGUACGGGCCAUGGGAGUGGUAGCCCGGAGAUGGAUUCUGAGACACGAAUCCAGGCCCUACGGGGCGCAGCAGGCGCGAAAACUUCGCAAUGCGCGAAAGCGCGACGAGGGGAUUCCAAGUGCAUGCACUUAGUGCAUGCUGUUUGCUAGUCUAAAUAGCUAGUAGAGUAAGGGCUGGGUAAGACUGGUGCCAGCCGCCGCGGUAAUACCAGCGGCCCGAGUGGUGAUCGUUAUUAUUGGGUCUAAAGCGUCCGUAGCCGGCCCGGUAAAUCUCUGGGUAAAUCGGUUGGCUCAACUCAGCGAAUUUCUAGGGAGACUGCCGGGCUUGGGACCGGGAGAGGUCGGAGGUACUCCAGGGGUAGGGGUGAAAUCCUGUAAUCCUUGGGGGACCACCGGUGGCGAAGGCGUCCGACCAGAACGGGUCCGACGGUAAGGGACGAAGCCCUGGGGCGCGAACCGGAUUAGAUACCCGGGUAGUCCAGGGUGUAAACGCUGUGCGCUUGGUGUUGGGGGUCCUUUGAGGGCAUCCAGUGCCGGAGAGAAGUUGUUAAGCGCACCACCUGGGGAGUACGGUCGCAAGACUGAAACUUAA
rnacentral:rRNA from 1 species